CUUGGUUCCCGCGGUGCCCUCGGGCCCCGGAGGCGGCGUCUUCUCCCCUCCGGUUUGGGAUGAAUUUUCUCCCGUUUCCCCAGGAGACAGUGACUGCCUUGGGAGACAUAUCGAUCCCAAGCUUCUCGGGACUCCACUUUCCUCCAUAUUGGCCGUUCCCGCCGCGCUGAGUCUAGGGCACAGGGUCAUGGAAGGCGGGAAACCAGGAAACUCCACUCCUUACUUCACAGUCCUGCCAGCUGCCUCACAGUGCGAGGCAAAAAUGGAGGAACACUGAAGAAAUGAAAGUCAGAAGAACUUCCAGGAAUCGCGCACUUCGCCCUCAAACAUUGGUGGGCACUAGAAUAAGCCUUUCCUGCCCCAGCCCCUCAGCUGAAUCUCUAAGGAGAAUGCUCUAGAGGGCUGUUCGCCUAUGCUGAUUCGCUGAACUGAACAGGGAGCAGAAACCCCAGGGCACACUCCAUGUAAGACCAGAUGCUGGAACGAUCAGACACAGGACCCAAGCCCUUUGGAGCCUCCAUUUAUCGACUAUCAAAGGAGGAUGCGUUGUGAAGAAGCACGAACGGGAGGGAGUGUGAACUCUGCCUGUUAGCUGAUUCACUCAACCACCCUCUACCGCUCCCACCCCUGGGCUUGGUGCUGGGACAGCGAUGACGGGGAGAGGGUCCUGCCUCACAGGACUACAACAGCCAAAGGGCUGUGGGUGCAAGGGGGACAGGGCAGGUGUUCUGCCUCUUUAGGGGAGGCCUUGAAGGGGAAGGUGGAGCCCUGAAGCAUGAGUCUGCAGAAGUAGCAAUCAUUCAAUAAAUACAUGCUGAUUUAUUACAGGGAUAAGAUGGUUUCUUGGGGGAUAGAUUCAAGAGGAGUUGAGAAUGUUUUAUUCAUUUAC
rnacentral:lncRNA from 1 species